rnacentral:lncRNA from 1 species
ACAGGGUUGACACUACUAAAUUGUCAAAUUGUUACCUAUUGUAGUAUUUUAAUCCGUAAGACUUUCUAAGAUAACAAUACGAAUACUAAAAAUCUGGACUAAAAAUAAGUUUCAAUUUGUUAGCGAGCAUGACGUAAAACAGCGAAUCAAAGAAUUCAACUUUAUUUAUAACUAAUAUAGGACAAUGCUGUUGAUUAAAAAAUACUCCAUUCCAGGACCUUUUGUUUUCCAAAUAAUCAAUAUUACCAAUAAUUGAUAAGUUCCAGUUCAACGAGUUCAAACAGAAAGAUUUGAAAGCAGAGAAAAUUGUGCAUCUUAUAAUCGGCAUGACUUUAUCAGAUGACAUUAC